rnacentral:rRNA from 1 species
CGGACGGGUGAGUAAUGUAUAGGAACUUGCCUAGUAGUGGGGGACAACGCGCGGAAACGCACGCUAAUACCGCAUACGCUCUACGGAGGAAAGCGGGGGCUCUUCGGACCUUGUGCUACUAGAUAGGCCUAUAUUGGAUUAGCUAGUUGGUAAGGUAAAGGCUUACCAAGGCGACGAUCCAUAGCUGGUUUGAGAGAAUGAUCAGCCACACUGGGACUGAGACACGGCCCAG